UGCCGCGUGAGUGAUGAAGGCCUUAGGGUCGUAAAGCUCUUUCGCCUGUGAUGAUAAUGACAGUAGCAGGUAAAGAAACCCCGGCUAACUCCGUGCCAGCAGCCGCGGUAAUACGGAGGGGGUUAGCGUUGUUCGGAAUUACUGGGCGUAAAGCGCACGUAGGCGGAUUGGAAAGUUGGGGGUGAAAUCCCGGGGCUCAACCCCGGAACUGCCUCCAAAACUAUCAGUCUAGAGUUCGAGAGAGGUGAGUGGAAUUCCAAGUGUAGAGGUGAAAUUCGUAGAUAUUUGGAGGAACACCAGUGGCGAAGGCGGCUCACUGGCUCGAUACUGACGCUGAGGUGCGAAAGUGUGGGGAGCAAACAGGAUUAGAUACCCUGGUAGUCCACACCGUAAACGAUGAAUGCCAGUCGUCGGGCAGUAUACUGUUCGGUGACACACCUAACGGAUUAAGCAUUCCGCCUGGGGAGUACGGUCGCAAGAUUAAAACU
rnacentral:rRNA from 1 species